ensembl:lncRNA
CUCUUAUCAGGUAGGAGAUUAUUACUUUAUCUAUUUUGCAAAUAGAGACAUUGAGACAUAAUGGUAAAAAGAUACACAUGAAAAUGGUCACUGGCAAAGCAAAGAGAUUCAAUGCCAUGAUUCAGCCCUAACACGUUACAAUAGUGUAAUCCUUCAGUGCUGUUAAAACAUACACAAAAAUAAAAGGUCAACCAUCUUUAACAGUGCAUUUGCAAGCUGGAUGUGUCUAAAACUGAAUUUCUGCUUCAGAUUUUAGGAGAGCAAUGAGAGUUGUAAGAGGUGGCAGAAGCUUUGCACAUGAAGAUGUGUUCAGAGGAAGAACCUCGAAGAGCUGCAUAGUAAAUUUUUAGUGCACGUAAUGCAAGCAUUCAGGAUGUAAACAGCCCUUGAGUCAUUUCAUACCAUUUUUAACAGUAAUUCUGAAGUGACAUUUCAAAAAAAUGGACAAUGGGGUUUAUUGCUUAUUUAGAAGUUACAGCUUCUUUGCUACUGAUCAAAGCCAAGACUACCACAGUUAUGUUUAACUAUGCACAUAGUGGGAAAUGAAAAAAACUUGGAAAUCAAAUCAUUACUCUGGCUCCUGUGAACUUUGCUUCACUAAGCAAAAAAAAUGCAGCAAACAAAAUAGGCUCUGACCUCCCAGAACAACAUUUAAAAAAAAAGUCUGAUCUGCUUAUGUGGGCAGAAUUUGGCACAGGGUAAACAUCCAUGUUUGCUCCUCAAAUUACACAAGCCACAAAAGAAUCUUGUUUUCUUUUAUCCAGUACAUGCAUUUGAGGAUCUGAGGCAGGUUGCUUUCUCCGUGUGGAAGUGCAAGUUCUGGGGCAAAGUAAAUGUACCCGCUGCUUGUAAUGCGGUCUCGGUAAGGGAAGAACAGACACAUUCUGCCCUGAGCACACAAAACCAUAGGAAACCUCAUCAAGCAAAGCUUCUUGUUGUUGAAAAGCAUCUGAAUAAUGAAACAAACAAAAUCUGGACCUGUUGUAUUCAAACACCUGAGCAUCAGCAACUCAAAUUGCAUCACGCACUGCUACAGAAGAUGGAUAAACUAAAAAAGAAAAGACUCCUGCAAAGCAAUUCAUUUUUAUCAGCCGAGCAUAUUGUUUCAGAGACCAAUGGCUCAAAUCUGUCAAUCUGUCCUAACAAGCCUAAAUAAAAACACUGUUCUAAUAUAAAAGCCUUUGCUUUUCAUCCGUAUGUUUGUAAUUAUUAUUACAAAGUAUGAAUACAAAAGGAAUGCUAGCCCUUGAAUAGUAAUUUGGUAAAAACACGACAUAUAUAUUCUGGAUACCUUUGUAGGACUGGCUUACUGUUGCCUUUUUCAGUUUCCUUUAUCCUGAAAAUAAUGUACUGAUUUGUGCAUGCAUUUAUUCCAAAUGCAUAAGUAGUCAAUAUACCUUUUCACACAUCAAGAAAAAAACAUUUGCAAAGAUGUUUCCUGAGCUGAAUGAACAAAAAGCCACCCAUCCUUUAUAUCAAAAAGUUCAAAAUUUAAAUCUGUUUGUGUAGAUGAGAAAAUCUAAUCAAUGUAUGUAUUUAAACUGAAAAAAAAUAGGUCAUUUGUUUCAAUGAUUGACCCAGCUCCAUAAGAAGGUUGAAAAAUUUGUUCACAUUUUGCAAAUACAUUUAGGUUAGGCUAUUACUAAAAGAUUAAGUUCAUUUGCUUUUACAUUCUGGGCUGAAUCGUUCCAUAUCAUAUCUUUAUACUUACUAAUUUUAUUAUACCACCUUUUAAAAACUGCAGGAAAAAUUCUUAAAGCCUGACUCCUUUUCUAAAACAACAUUAAUAUUUUAAGGCUGAGACUUGCAUAGGACUUUUGCUAGAUGCUCUGUGCACAUAGGACAUUAACUAAAGUAUCUUAACUGUUCCGUAUUUUUAACCUCUAUUAAUUGUACUAAUGUGUUCAGCUUAUACUUGCUAUUGAGAAAUCCUUUUGUUCCACAUACAGAAAAAUCCUGGGUUUUGUAGGCCUCAACAAAUUAUUUGUUUGCAAAAACAAAUAAAUGAUACAUUUUUAAGGAGUUGAAGUUCA